rnacentral:tRNA from 1 species
GCCGGAGUGGCGGAAUGGCAGACGCGGCGGAUUCAAAAUCCGCUGCCCGAAAGGGCGUGGGGGUUCGACUCCCCCCUCCGGCA